GUCCUUUUUCUCCGCUUAGGGCCAAUCCGGCCCCCGCCCCGCAGCUCCCCAGCCUUUAGCCCAAAUGGCCUCUCAACGGCUUUUCGCCCACAACCUGAGGUAACAAAGUUCAAGGGGAGACUAAGUGCCGCUAGAAAGGCCUUUUCGGGCCUCAGGGCCAAUUCGGUCCUGCCCGCCCCGUCCCCCCGCUCCGCCCCCCAACCCCCGCUCCGCCCCGAAGUUCCUCAGCGUUUAAGGCAAAUUUCCUCUCCAGGGCUUCUCGAGCACACCCGAGGCAAAAAAGCUCAAGGGGAGACAAAGUGCCGCCAGACAGGCCUUUCCGGGCCUCAGGGCCAAUUCGGUCCUGCCCGCUCCGCCCCCCGCUCCGCCCCGCAACCCCCGCUCCGCCCCGCAACCCCCGCUCCGCCCCGAAGUUCCUCAGCGUUUAAGGCAAAUUUCCUCUCCAGGGCUUCUCGAGCACACCCGAGGCAAAAAAGCUCAAGGGGAGACAAAGUGCCGCCAGACAGGCCUUUCCGGGCCUCAGGGCCAAUUCGGUCCUGCCCGCUCCGCCCCGCAACCCCCGCUCCGCCCCGAAGUUCCUCAGCGUUUAAGUCAAAUUUCCUCUCCAGGGCUUCUCGAGCACACCCGAGGCAAAAAAGCUCAAGGGGAGACAAAGUGCCGCCAGACAGGCCUUUCCGGGCCUCAGGGCCAAUUCGGUCCUGCCCGCUCCGCCCCCCGCUCCGCCCCGCAACCCCCGCUCCGCCCCGAAGUUCCUCAGCGUUUAAGGCAAAUUUCCUCUCCAGGGCUUCUCGAGCACACCCGAGGCAAAAAAGCUCAAGGGGAGACAAAGUGCCGCCAGACAGGCCUUUCCGGGCCUCAGGGCCAAUUCGGUCCUGCCCGCUCCGCCCCGCAACCCCCGCUCCGCCCCGAAGUUCCUCAGCGUUUAAGUCAAAUUUCCUCUCCAGGGCUUCUCGAGCACACCCGAGGCAAAAAAGCUCAAGGGGAGACAAAGUGCCGCCAGACAGGCCUUUCCGGGCCUCAGGGCCAAUUCGGUCCUGCCCGCUCCGCCCCGCAACCCCCGCUCCGCCCCGAAGUUCCUCAGCGUUUAAGUCAAAUUUCCUCUCCAGGGCUUCUCGAGCACACCCGAGGCAAAAAAGCUCAAGGGGAGACAAAGUGCCGCCAGACAGGCCUUUCCGGGCCUCAGGGCCAAUUCGGUCCUGCCCGCUCCGCCCCGCAACCCCCGCUCCGCCCCGAAGUUCCUCAGCGUUUAAGGCAAAUUUCCUCUCCAGGGCUUCUCGAGCACACCCGAGGCAAAAAAGCUCAAGGGGAGACAAAGUGCCGCCAGACAGGCCUUUCCGGGCCUCAGGGCCAAUUCGGUCCUGCCCGCUCCGCCCCCCGCUCCGCCCCGCAACCCCCGCUCCGCCCCGAAGUUCCUCAGCGUUUAAGGCAAAUUUCCUCUCCAGGGCUUCUCGAGCACACCCGAGGUCAAAAAAGGGGAGACAAAGUGCCGCUAGACAGACCUUCUCCGGCAUCAGGACCUGCCACACCGGACUCCGGAGGGCUCGCGACGCUAGCUGUGGUAUCCAGCUUUCCGGGACGUCCACGGCCAAAACCGUUAAGACGCCUGGAAACCGACCAACGGUCCUUUCACCGGAAGUCGGGCCCGAACACGUGACGUGUCCAGCGCGAGCCCCCCGGAAGCUCCGGAAACACGCGCGCGCCAGGUGCACCCGGCACGCAGGUGCGCCCGGCACGCAGGUGCGCCCGGCACGCAGCUGCGCCCGGCACGCAGCUGCACCCGGCACGCAAGUCUCCACGCGUGCGGUGGUUAACCAAUUCCUCGGGCACCUGCGCAAUGGGUGGGGAACGGGACGUUGCUAG
ensembl:lncRNA